CUCACAGAAUGCUUGCGUUUAAAGUCCUCAUCUUUGCGAUGUUAAUAGUGCUGACCCUUGGUCAGUCUUGGCCUCCACAUAUCGGCAGCAUAGGCUACAGGAGAGACGGUAAAAAUAAAGGGCGAAACCAGAAAUUAUAAAUAUUAUAAUAAUAUCAAAACUAUAUGACAAAUUUGUAAAGAAGUUUUUAGUUGCCUUAAUGUUUUCAGAAUGGCUGCAAACAGUCAAAAAAGUCUUUGAAAUAAAUUGUCUUCCUACUAUAUA